AUUAAAUUGUGUAUUAACACCCUUUAUCCACUUUUAUAAGGUUAUACCUGAGAGACAGGAGAAAGCUAAGAGUGAGCGAUUUCACCAGAAUAUCUGAAAAUGGUAAGGAGUGCCUUAGUUGUAUCCACUCUGUAAAAACGAAUUGGUUAAAACAGCCCAUAAAUUGGUUCAUUUCUGAGACAACCUUUACAGUGUCAUUUGGACUUCGCAUAGACCAUGGAGGUGACAUUCCAGAGGAAUUUUAGUUUCAAUUUUUUUCCUACAAUUUUUUCAGAGUGGAAGGCAGAUACAAAGUUAUGGCCAACGGGAAUUGACAAGCAAUUGGGAAGAAGAGGGAAGUUAUGGAACAUAUGGAACAUAUGUAUGCGAAAGGACAAUCGAGGAAACUCGUCGAAAGGACGGGAAUAAUGAGUAUUAUUAUAGAAGGGUAUCUGAAAAACGAAAAGAAAGAUCAGAAAGCUGUAUCUUGUUAUAAUUUCUUUAAUUCUUGCAUUACUUAACUGUCUGUUGCACACCUUAGGCCUAUAGUUUAGUAUUUUGAUAAAACAGUGUUUCAGAGUAUAACUCCAUUUUCAGGUUAUUCACAAAGGUACAAAUUAAAAUUAUUAAUUAACUAUUCAGUUCAAUUACCAUGAAUGUUGUUUACAAAUAAUUGUGCAAGCAAAACAGCGUUUUACCAUAUAAAUUGGACCAAGGUUGAACAAACAGACUCGAUAAGUUUUAAAUUAUUUGUUUAACUUUCCAUGUUUGUUGUCCUGUGUGUUGUCUUUGUUCUUGUCAUAUUUGGUUUUUUCGCAAGUUAUAUAUUUGUGUUUAUAUGUUGUUGGCGCAUCUUGGCAUGUAAUUAGAAACGUUUUGCUUGCGCAAUUAUUAUUUAUUUUAAUUAAAGAAGAAAUCCCUAACCUUCCUUCUUAGCAGGCUUAAACGAGAAUUGUUUGCUCCUUGUGGAACUGGUAGUGCAUUCAACAUGUCUACAAUUCUGUUAA